AGUGAACGCUGGCGGUAGGCCUAACACAUGCAAGUCGAACGGCAGCGCAGGAGAGCUUGCUCUCUGGGUGGCGAGUGGCGGACGGGUGAGGAAUACAUCGGAAUCUACUCUGUCCUGGGGGAUAACGUAGGGAAACUUACGCUAAUACCGCAUACGACCUACGGGUGAAAGCAGGGGACCUUCGGGCCUUGCGCGAUUGAAUGAGCCGAUGUCGGAUUAGCUAGUUGGCGGGGUAAAGGCCCACCAAGGCGACGAUCCGUAGCUGGUCUGAGAGGAUGAUCAGCCACACUGGAACUGAGACACGGUCCAGACUCCUACGGGAGGCAGCAGUGGGGAAUAUUGGACAAUGGGCGCAAGCCUGAUCCAGCCAUACCGCGUGGGUGAAGAAGGCCUUCGGGUUGUAAAGCCCUUUUGUUGGGAAAGAAAUCCAGCUGGCUAAUACCCGGUUGGGAUGACGGUACCCAAAGAAUAAGCACCGGCUAACUUCGUGCCAGCCGCCGCAGUAA
rnacentral:rRNA from 1 species